rnacentral:rRNA from 1 species
GACGAGCGCUGGCGGCGUGCUUAACACAUGCAAGUCGAACGGUGACGAUCAAGCUUGCUUGGUCUGAUCAGUGGCGAACGGGUGAGUAACACGUGAGUAACCUGCCCCAGACUCUGGGAUAACCCCGGGAAACCGGAGCUAAUACCGGAUAUGACAUGCCCCUGCAUGGGGAGUGUGUGGAAAGUUUUUUCGGUCUGGGAUGGACUCGCGGCCUAUCAGCUUGUUGGUGGGGUAAUGGCUCACCAAGGCGACGACGGGUAGCCGGCCUGAGAGGGCGAACGGCCACACUGGGACUGAGACACGGCCCAGACUCCUACGGGAGGCAGCAGUGGGGAAUAUUGCACAAUGGGCGAAAGCCUGAUGCAGCGACGCCGCGUGAGGGAUGACGGCCUUCGGGUUGUAAACCUCUUUCAGCAGGGAAGAAGCGCAAGUGACGGUACCUGCAGAAGAAGCACCGGCUAACUACGUGCCAGCAGCCACCGUAAUAC